UCAGGAUGAACGCUAGCGGCAGGCUUAACACAUGCAAGUCGAGGGGCAACGCGAGUAGCAAUACUUGGCGGCGACCGGCGCAAGGGUGCGUAACGCGUGAGCAACAUGCCCGUAUCAGGGGGAUAAUCCAGGGAAACUUGGUCUAAUACCCCAUAGUAAUUUUGUAAGGCAUCUUAUAAGAUUUAAAGCUUUGGUGGAUACGGAUUGGCUCGCGUGACAUUAGCUGGAUGGUAAGGUAACGGCUUACCAUGGCUAUGAUGUCUAGGGGUUCUGAGAGGAAGGUCCCCCACACUGGAACUGAGACACGGUCCAGACUCCUACGGGAGGCAGCAGUGAGGAAUAUUGGACAAUGGAUGGAAAUCUGAUCCAGCCAUGCCGCGUGAAGGAAGAAGGUCCUAUGGAUUGUAAACUUCUUUUGUAUGGGAGCAAUAAGGCCUACGAGUAGGUUGAUGAGAGUACCAUACGAAUAAGCACCGGCUAACUCCGUGCCAGCAGCGGC
rnacentral:rRNA from 1 species